CCUACGGGGGGCAGCAGUGGGGAAUAUUGCACAAUGGGGGAAACCCUGAUGCAGCGACGCCGCGUGAGUGAAGAAGGAAUUCGGUAUGUAAAGCUCUAUCAGCAGGGAAGAAAAUGACGGUAACUGAGUAAGAAGCCUCGGCUAACUACGUGCCAGCAGCCGCGGUAAUACGUAGGGGGCAAGCGUUAUCCGGAUUGACUGGGUGUAAAGGGAGCGUAGACGGCAGUGAAAGACCGGAGUGAAAGGCGGGGGCUCAACCCACGGACUGUUCUGGAAACUGUACGGCUGGAGUGCAGGAGAGGUAACUGGAAUUCCUAGUGUAGCGGUGAAAUGCGUAGAUAUUAGGAGGAACACCAGUGGCGAAGGCGGCUUACUGGACUGUAACUGACGUUGAGGCUCGAAAGCGUAGGGAGCAAACAGGAUUAGAUACCCGGGUAGUC
rnacentral:rRNA from 1 species